rnacentral:lncRNA from 1 species
AGACACCCCAGAUUACGCCCCCAGUCAGUGCAGUCUUCUUUUCCUUCUCCUCCCAGCCCUUCUUCUGAUGUGCAACUGACCAUUCUCGCUCAAAGAGUCAAGGAGGUUUUGCCCCAUGUGCCAUUGAAUGUCAUCCAGAGAGACCUGGCUAGGACUGGGUGUGUAGACUUGACCAUCACCAAUCUGCUUGAGGGGGCUGUGGCUUUCAUGCCUGAAGAUGUCACUGAGGGAUCUCAGUCCCUGCCCACAGCCUCUGCCCCAAAGGCAUUCGAUGGGUGUUUAAUGAUGAUGACUUCGCAAGCCCUCUGACAUUGUGAUCACCUCAGUUCCCCAGCUCUGGCCUGGUGACCCCUCAGCCCACAGCCCUAACAUUUGCCAAGUCUUCCUGGGCCCGUCAGGAGAGCCUGCAGGAGCGCAAGCAGGCACUGUAUGAAUAUGCAAGAAGGAGAUUCAGAGAGAGACAGGCCCAGGAGGCUGAAUGAGCCCAAAGAAACAGGAUGGUACCCAGAGCCGCAGGACGGAGACUGGGGGCAGCCCUCACCCAGCUAACAACAGGCCGGAUGAGUGGGUGGUAAAAAGGGAGGGAUGGGGCUCCCCCAAUCUCACAUUAAAUUCAGGGUUUUCACUCAA